UACGUAGGGUGCAAGCGUUGCCCGGAAUUAUUGGGCGUAAAGGGCGCGUAGGCGGUGCGGUAAGAGUGUUGUGAAAUCUUCGGGCUCAACUCGAAGUCUGCAACGCUGACUGCCGUGCUUGAGUGUGGGAGAGGUGAGUGGAAUUCCUGGUGUAGCGGUGAAAUGCGUAGAUAUCAGGAGGAACACCAAAGGCGAAGGCAGUGUCCUGGGGAGUACCUGACGCUCAGGUGCGAAAGCCAGGGGAGCGAACGGG
rnacentral:rRNA from 1 species